rnacentral:lncRNA from 1 species
ACUGAAAUAAGAGUUUUGACAUUAAGUAAAUCUCUAAAUCUCAACUCUCAACUCGUAAAAAAAAAUAGAAAUAACGAAUUUACUACCAAUGAAAAGGUAGAUAUAUUAUUGUCACGAUUUAGAUGUUGCGCCAUGUUUUCAACAAUAUCUAAGCAUUAAUUGGAAUUGAAAUUGCAAUUCUCUCUAUAAUAAAUAACACCACUAUUAUCUGCAUAACAAAAUUAAAUCCGAAAUGAGGUGUUUCCACUUUCCUUGCAAUCCCCGUUUAUGAUGAAAUUAAGAUUAUGAGAGGAAAAGAUAAGAUGAAUUAGCCCAGCAAAUAACAAUAACUAAUCUUGAGCUAUUAGUUCCUUCACAUGAACCUCUGAAUUCAAUGAUAAUCUCUCAGCUCCGGCCUUCUCCCUACGGCGGCGCAGGUGGUAAACGACACCGGAGACAACCAGCAAAGCCACGCCGGCGAAGCCACAAAUCGCCGCAGCAGCCAGCAACCCCAACCUCACGUGAUCUCGCCGAAGGUCGCGCGAUCCACGGACACUCGACCACGCGUCUCCGCCGCCGCCGAUGUUGAAAAUAACCAUCUGCAUAAGUCAAAGAUUAUUAUUCAAAGAUCAUGAAUAAUAAUUCAACGAUAAAAUCUUUAGCUUUUGAUUUUAAGAGAUUGUAUUUGAUUUUAAGAGAUUGUAGUUUGACAUUUGAUUCACCCUUACACUAUAAAAGGGUGCAUUGUAAUCUAAAGAAAUAUAUCAGAGACAUUAUCAAUUCUCUCUACAUUUUCUAUCAUGUUGUUCUUUCUCAACCUAGCUUCUCUCGAUUACCAUAUUUAAGAUGGUAUCAAAGCAGGUUAACCACCAAA